GAUGAACGCUGGCGGCGUGCCUAAUACAUGCAAGUCGAGCGAACAGACGAGAAGCUUGCUCCUCUGAUGUUAGCGGCGGACGGGUGAGUAACACGUGGAUAACCUACCUAUAAGACUGGGAUAACUUCGGGAAACCGGAGCUAAUACCGGAUAAUAUUUUGAAACGCAUGGUUCAAAAGUGAAAGACGGUCUUGCUGUCACUUAUAGAUGGAUCCGCGCUGCAUUAGCUAGUUGGUAAGGUAACGGCUUACCAAGGCAACGAUGCAUAGCCGACCUGAGAGGGUGAUCGGCCACACUGGAACUGAGACACGGUCCAGACUCCUACGGGAGGCAGCAGUAGGGAAUCUUCCGCAAUGGGCGAAAGCCUGACGGAGCAACGCCGCGUGAGUGAUGAAGGUCUUCGGAUCGUAAAACUCUGUUAUUAGGGAAGAACAUAUGUGUAAGUAACUGUGCACAUCUUGACGGUACCUAAUCAGAAAGCCACGGCUAACUACGUG
rnacentral:rRNA from 1 species